CCCGGAGGAGGCUGCGAGCGCGCCGCCCGCGGGGCUUCUCAGAGGCGGGGCGGCGGCUGGGCAGGCCCGAGCCGGGCUCCCGCGGCCGGGGUGGGAGGAGGAGAGGCCGCGCGGCGCGGGGUGAGUGCCCAGGUUCAUUCAUGCAGCAGGCAUUUAUUGGGUGACUGCAGUACUGCAAAAGGUUGCAAAGGAAAUGGAAGAUCUGGUCCCUGCAGUAGUGAUCUUGCGUGACUGGCUCAGUGCAAAACCCUCUAGCUCAACCUUCCUGUGACUAACUUGUAUUCCAGGAGACUAUCUGGAAGGAUUCAAGGAAUUUAUGCUAUGAAAAUAAUCAUCAAUCAUUCAAAGAUUUGUAUAAAAUGAUUAUCGUCUACUAUUUUUGGAAAUGCCAACAAUAAAGCACAAGUUGAAAAAAAAAUGGAUGAUAAAGGUAGGUGCAUUUCUUUCAAAAAAUCAUUUCCCAGGGGGCACAGCCUUAUCUCAUCCUCUGCCUGCAUCCCAGUCUGUGACCCAUUUCCUGGCAACCUUGAGGGCUAGAUGCUCAUCAGGACUGUCCAUGGCCUUGCUCACGUUCUGAAGCUGCUUGAGUGUCUAAUUUACUUAACUUCGCUUAAUUUAGCUACAUUGCGGAGAUGUGGAUUUUAAAAGCUAGUCCUGUGGAUGAAUGCCCUCAGGACUAUCAAAUUAAUUUCUUCCUCAAAUUAAACAAAUAUAUUUCAAA